CCAGGCGCGCAAAUUACCCAUUCCCGACGCGGGGAGGUAGUGACGAAAAAUAACAAUGCAGGACUCGUUCGAGGCCCUGUAAUUGGAAUGAGUACACUUUAAAAGCUUUAACGAGUAUCCAUUGGAGGGCAAGUCUGGUGCCAGCAGCCGCGGUAAUUCCAGCUCCAAAAGUAUAUAUUUAAGUUGUUGCGGUUAAAAAGCUCGUAGUUGGAUUUUGGGCGCAGGCGGCCGGUCCGUCGCAAGGCGUGUACUGGACGUCCUGGCCUUCCCUCCGGUUCUCCGCCGGUGCUCUUGACUGAGUGUCGGCGGCGGCCGGAACGUUUACUUUGAAAAAAUUAGAGUGUUCAAAGCAGGCUCUCGAGCCUGGAUAAUGGUGCAUGGAAUAAUGGAAUAGGACCUCGGUUCUAUUUUGUUGGUUUUCGGAGCGCGAGGUAAUGAUUAAGAGGGACAGACGGGGGCAUUCGUACUGUGCCGUUAGAGGUGAAAUUCUUGGAUCGGCGCAAGACGAACGACUGCGAAAGCAUUUGCCAAGAAUGUUUUCUUUAAUCAAGAGCGAAAGUCAGAGGUUCGAAGACGAUCAGAUACCGUCCUAGUUCUGACUAUAAACGAUGCCAACUAGCGAUCGGGGGGCGUUACAUUGACGACCCCUCCUGCAGCUUACGGGAAACCAAAGUCUUUGGGUUCCGGGGGAAGUAUGGUUGCAAAGC
rnacentral:ncRNA from 1 species